rnacentral:rRNA from 1 species
CAGUAGCCGCGGGAAUACGUAGGUGGCGAGCGUUGUCCGGAAUUAUUGGGCGUAAAGGGAGCGCAGGCGGACAUAUAAGUCCAUCUUAAAAGUGCGGGGCUCAACCCCGGAGCUGCUUUGGGAACUGUAGAACUGGAGUGUCGGAGGGGUAAGCGGAAUUCCCAGUGUAGCGGUGAAAUGCGUAGAUAUUGGGAGGAACACCGGCGGCGAAGGCGGCUUACUGGACGACAACUGACGUUGAGGCUCGAAGGCGUGGGUAGCAAACAGGAUUAGAUACCCCCGUAGUCCCUGUCUCUUAUAC